GUGAGGGGUGCAGUGAGGAGCAGCGGUGGCCACGCCCGGGAAUCAUUUUGGUGAUUUAACCCCUAAUUCCAACCCUUGAUGCUGAGUCCCAAGCAGGGAGGUUGAGUUUGUGACGAACCCCAAGAUGCAGAGAAUGCGGCAGGCAUUGUGAAGCUGUUGGUUGAUUUAUUAUAUAUUGUAUAUAUUAUUGUGGAGAGGCGGAGCCAACGGGCCGACGGCGGGGCAGGGCACGCUGCAGCUCUGCCCAGGAUGGUACCAAGGAGGCGGAGAAUGCGGCGGAGCGGGGAGGCGGGGCGUGCUGGGAGAGACGCCGCCGCAAUCUAAUUCAGGUGACGUGGAUCGUACACCGGCACACAAUUAACUUUUCUCCUCUGGCUGUAUAAAAGGGGAGAAGGAGGAAAGAUCAGGGAAGGAGUAGGAGAACCAGCAGCGGAACCUGACGAGUGAAAACGACCGAGAGCGAGCCGAAGACAGCGACUGAAAGCGAGCAGGAGAGGAGCAGCUGAAAAGCGAUCCGACCAAAAGACAA